rnacentral:rRNA from 1 species
UACGUAGGGUGCGAGCGUUAAUCGGAAUUACUGGGCGUAAAGCGUGCGCAGGCGGUCUGUUAAGACCGAUGUGAAAUCCCCAGGCUUAACCUGGGAACUGCAUUGGUGACUGGCAGGCUUUGAGUGUGGCAGAGGGAGGUGGAAUUCCACGUGUAGCAGUGAAAUGCGUAGAGAUCGGGAGGAACACCAGAGGCGAAGGCGGCGACCUGGACAGAUACUGACACUCAACUACGAAAGCGUGGGGAGCAAACAGG